CUGAGCUUUUACAUUCUUUUAUUAUUGAUAACAUUGUAACACUCUUCAAUCAACAAAUGACAUUUUUUUCAACAGUGUCCAAAAUAUUAAAACAUCAAUGUAACAAGUGCAGACAACCAUGAACUAUUUGCUUCUGCUCUACAAAUGUUCACAUACAAACCAUUUGAAGCAGACCCAUCAGAAUGUUUCUUUGAAUAACUUCAACAAUCUACAUGACCAGAAACAUUUAUUUACAAAACAACAUUAAGGAAGAAGAAAAAAAAAGAAAUUGCUUUUUAAAGUCAAGAUCAAAAAUAAUUCAAGACAUUCCAGCUAUGACAUGGCAGUCUCACAUUUCUAAUACAAUUAUAUUAAUUAUCUAUGUUCUUAUGUUGGUUUUUGCUAUAAGACAUAAUUAUAAACAUGUUCAUUUUUCAAAAUAACAACCCAAUCUUCUUCUUCGUU